CUGCUCAAAUUGAACGCUGGCGGCAGGCCUAACACAUGCAAGUCGAGCGGCAGCGGGAAGUAGUUUACUACUUUGCCGGCGAGCGGCGGACGGGUGAGUAAUGUCUGGGAAACUGCCUGAUGGAGGGGGAUAACUACUGGAAACGGUAGCUAAUACCGCAUGACCUCGCAAGAGCAAAGUGGGGGACCUUCGGGCCUCACGCCAUCGGAUGUGCCCAGAUGGGAUUAGCUAGUAGGUGGGGUAAUGGCUCACCUAGGCGACGAUCCCUAGCUGGUCUGAGAGGAUGACCAGCCACACUGGAACUGAGACACGGUCCAGACUCCUACGGGAGGCAGCAGUGGGGAAUAUUGCACAAUGGGCGCAAGCCUGAUGCAGCCAUGCCGCGUGUGUGAAGAAGGCCUUCGGGUUGUAAAGCACUUUCAGCGAGGAGGAAGGCAGUCGUGUUAAUAGCACGAUUGAUUGACGUACUCGCAGAAGAAGCAC
rnacentral:rRNA from 1 species